ACAAAAACAUGUUUUUUAUUUUUUUUUGAAAGUUUGGCCUGCUCAAUGAUUAUUUAAAUAGCCGCAGUAUUUUGACUGUGCUAAGGUAGCAUAAUAAUUAGUCUUUUAAUUGAGGUUUGGAAUGAAUGGUUAAACGAGAAAUAAACUUUAUUUAUUUAAUUUUUUUGAAUUUGAAUUUUUAGUUAAAAUUUUAAAAUGUUUUAGUGGGACGAUAAGACCCUAUAGAUCUUAAAAUUUUUAUUUUUUUAUAAUUUUUAGUUGUUUUUUUUGUUUUAAUAUAUUUAUUUUUUGUUGGGGUGAUAGAUAAAAUUUUUAACUUUUUUUUUUAAAUACAUUUAUUUAUGGUUAUUUUGAUCCUUAAUUUUUGAUUAAAAGAUAAAGAUACCUUAGGGAUAACAGCGUUAUAUAAUUGGAGAGUUCAAAUUGAUAAUUAUGUUUGCGACCUCGAUGUUGGAUUAAAUUUAAAUUGUGGGGUAGGUUUUACAAUAUUAGGUCUUCC
rnacentral:rRNA from 1 species